UUCGUAUCGGACAUCGGAGCAAUGGACAGGUCUCUCCGCUAAUAGGAUGCUCUGUGGAGGAGCCCUUGGGAGGGUCUCACUGUGCAGCCCUGGCUGACCUGGAAAUUGCUGUGUAGUCUAGACGGGGCUUGGACUCACAGAGAUCCACCUGCCUCAGAUAGGCUCCAUUGCUCUCCGUCUUUUCCAUCCUACGGUAGGAGUGUGCUUUGAGGAGUGACAUCACAGGCUCUGGCUGACUCGCACUGUAAGGUAAGGUCUAUACCACAGGGAUAAUGAAGGUAGAAGCAGUGCGAACUGGGAGCUGAGGUAUUCAAGGGCUGAGCCCUGGCUCGCCCACCCUGCAGGCCUCUCUACUAGGCAGAGAGCUAUGCUGCUGUCUUGUUUAAGCAGUAUAACUGGGAGACUCCACUUUCCUCGGUUAAACCCACUCCUUGCUGGUGAACACUCAUUCCUUUACAUCACAUGACUCUUCACUGGCCUUCGCCAGUGAGUCUUAGGUCAUUUCCUCUUAACUGUCCGAGUCCAAGUUCUUGUUCCUCAGAUCACAAGCAGAGCUUGUUGAGAAGCUAUCUUCAUGCCUGCAGCAACGGAUGAAGAAUGUCCCAGCUACAGCUACUUCAACCAGUUCCCAAAAUAGUUGCCUGAAGCCCAGUAGGGACAGUAUGACUCAGUUCCACUCCGCAGGACAGUGCUCAUGCCAAACCUGCCUGUUUCUGUAGAGGCAACUUCGUUGCUGGGAGAAGGGCAUCAGGGACGCAUGUGCAGAACCCAUGGAAGUUUUCAGAAGACACAGCUAGUCUGUGUGUCUAUCAGUCAGGCUUGGCAAUAUGUUCCAGACUCAUUCCUCUGUGACAAGCAACCCCAUUUGUUCCUUAGGACAGCCUCCUUCUAGACUAUGGUGUGCCCCAAAAUCAGCUCAUAAAUAUAUCUUUGUCUGGAAUAAAAAGUCGAACUGUU